rnacentral:rRNA from 1 species
CAGCCGUAAACGAUACUCGCUAGGUGUCGGCCACGGUGCGACCGUUGUCGGUGCCGUAGGGAAGCCGUGAAGCGAGCCACCUGGGAAGUACGGCCGCAAGGCUGAAACUUAAAGGAAUUGGCGGGGGAGCACCACAACGGGUGGAGCUUGCGGUUUAAUUGGAUUCAACGCCGGAAAUCUUACCGGGACCGACAGCAACAUGAAGGCCAAGCUGAAGACUUUGCCGGAUUAGCUGAGAGGAGGUGCAUGGCGUAGUCGUGU